GGCCUGAUGGUCUAGUAGUAUGAUUCUCCCUUCGGGUUUUGCCCCAUCUGAUUGGAUGAAGACUGGGAGAGGUCCCGGGUUCAAUUCCCGGUCAGGCCC